rnacentral:rRNA from 1 species
AUUGAACGCUGGCGGCAUGCCUUACACAUGCAAGUCGAACGGCAGCACGGGAGCAAUCCUGGUGGCGAGUGGCGAACGGGUGAGUAAUAUAUCGGAACGUGCCCAGUAGUGGGGGAUAGCCCGGCGAAAGCCGGAUUAAUACCGCAUGAGACCUGAGGGUGAAAGCGGGGGAUCGCAAGACCUCGCGCUAUUGGAGCGGCCGAUAUCAGAUUAGCUAGUGGGUGGGGUAAAGGCCUACCAAGGAAACGAUCUGUAGUUGGUCUUAGAGGACGACCAGCCACACUGGGACUGAGACACGGCCCAGACUCCUACGGGAGGCAGCAGUGGGGGAUUUUGGACAAUGGGCGAAAGCCUGAUCCAGCCAUGCCGCGUGUCUGAAGAAGGCCUUCGGGUUGUAAAGGACUUUUGUCGGGGAGGAAAUCCCCAGCGUUAAUACCGCUGGGGGAUGACAGUACCUGAAGAAUAAGCACCGGCUAACUACGUGCCAGCCGCCGCAGUAAAAC